rnacentral:rRNA from 1 species
AAUCAACGCUGGCGGCGUGCCUAACACAUGCAAGUCGAACGAGAAAGUGGGAGCAAUCCUGCGAGUAAAGUGGCAGACGGGUGAGUAACACGUGAACAACCUACCCUUGAGUGGGGAAUAACACCGCGAAAGCGGUGCUAAAACCGCAUAAAAUCUUUCUGUUGCAUGACGGGGAGAUCAAAAGCGCAAGUUGCUUGAGGAGGGGUUCGCGGCUGAUUGGCUAGUUGGUGAGGUAACGGCCCACCAAGGCGACGAUCAGUAGCCGGCCUGAGAGGGCGAACGGCCACACUGGAACUGAGACACGGUCCAGACUCCUACGGGAGGCAGCAGUGGGGAAUUUUGCGCAAUGGGCGAAAGCCUGACGCAGCAACGCCGCGUGGAGGAUGAAGGCCUUCGGGUCGUAAACUCCUGUCGAUGGGGACGAACAAAAUGACUGUACCCGUUGAGGAAGCCACGGCUAACUCCGUGCCAGCCGCCGCAGUAAAAC